GAUGAACGCUGGCGGCGUGCCUAAUACAUGCAAGUCGAGCGAACAGACGGGAGUGCUUGCACUCUCUGACGUUAGCGGCGGACGGGUGAGUAACACGUGGGUAACCUACCUAUAAGACUGGGAUAACUUCGGGAAACCGGAGCUAAUACCGGAUAAUAUUUAGCUUCGCAUGAAGCAAUAGUGAAAGACGGUUCUGCUGUCACUUAUAGAUGGACCCGCGGUGUAUUAGCUAGUUGGUGAGGUAACGGCUCACCAAGGCAACGAUACAUAGCCGACCUGAGAGGGUGAUCGGCCACACUGGGACUGAGACACGGCCCAGACUCCUACGGGAGGCAGCAGUAGGGAAUCUUCCGCAAUGGACGGAAGUCUGACGGAGCAAUGCCGCGUGAGUGAAGAAGGUUUUCGGAUCGUAAAACUCUGUUGUAAGGGAAGAACAAGUACGUUAGUAACUGAACGUACCUUGACGGUACCUUACCAGAAAGCCACGGCUAACUACGUG
rnacentral:rRNA from 1 species